UACCAUGGCGCCUCUAAAACAGGGUUGGCCACAAUUUGGUUAUGGGUUGAAAUUGGAAUCAGAUCAACGUUUCAGGGACAGGGAGAACAGGACCAGAUCGAAGGAUCUCUUAAUUCUUAUUUUAGUUUUAGCUCACUCCAGAUUGAUUUAACUCAAUUUUGGUCAAAUCCGAUCAUCAAAAUUUGAUCGGUUUCAGUUUAGACCAACUACAA
rnacentral:misc_RNA from 1 species